rnacentral:rRNA from 1 species
UACAGAGGUCCCAAGCGUUGUUCGGAUUCACUGGGCGUAAAGGGUGCGUAGGCGGUCGGGUAAGUCUGAUGUGAAAUCUUCAAGCUCAACUUGGAAACUGCGUCCGAUACUAUUCGGCUAGAGGAAUGGAGGGGAGACUGGAAUACUUGGUGUAGCAGUGAAAUGCGUAGAUAUCAAGUGGAACACCAGUGGCGAAGGCGAGUCUCUGGACAUUUCCUGACGCUGAGGCACGAAAGCCAGGGGAGCAAACGGG